rnacentral:rRNA from 1 species
GAAUGAACGCUGGCGGCGCGCCUAAUACAUGCAAGUCGAGCGAGAAGACGUAGCAAUACGUUUGUAGAGCGGCGAACGGGUGAGGAAUACAUGGGUAACCUACCCUCGAGUGGGGAAUAACUAGCCGAAAGGUUAGCUAAUACCGCGUACGCUUCUUGGACUUCGGUUCAGGGAGGAAAGCGAUGCCGAGGGUAUCGCGCUCUUGGAUGGGCUCAUGUCCUAUCAGCUGUUGGUGAGGUAACGGCUCACCAAGGCUUCGACGGGUAGCUGGUCUGAGAGGACGAUCAGCCACACUGGCACUGCGACACGGGGCCAGACUCCUACGGGAGGCAGCAGUAAGGAAUAUUGCGCAAUGGGCGAAAGCCUGACGCAGCGACGCCGCGUGGGGGA